AGUUAUGCUACGUUAGCUGCCCGAUCAGCAACCCUGACCAAUCAGGAUGCACCAGGCGGCAGAGACGCUGACGCGGGAGGCCACGCAAGAGGGAGCCACGUGGGCGAUUCGCGUGCGCACAAUCGAACAGCUAAGAUCCAUUCCUGCGCACAUGGACGGCCUAGAUCAAAAAUGGGCACGGAUGACCUAGAUUCCAUCACGCACGGACGGCCAAGAUUGCAUCACACACAGACGGUCAAGAUUGAAUUCCACACAGACGGUCCAGAUUAAAUCGCGAUGAACGAUCCAUAUUCACUUCUUAUUUAAUCAUGAUCGGAUGGUUCAGAUUAAAUGCGAUGGAUAGCCCAGAUCAAAAGCAGAUAGAUACAAAUAAAC
rnacentral:lncRNA from 1 species